rnacentral:rRNA from 1 species
UACGAAGGGGGCUAGCGUUGCUCGGAAUCACUGGGCGUAAAGGGUGCGUAGGCGGGUUUUUAAGUCAGAGGUGAAAUCCUGGAGCUCAACUCCAGAACUGCCUUUGAUACUGAGAAUCUUGAGUACGGGAGAGGUGAGUGGAACUGCGAGUGUAGAGGUGAAAUUCGUAGAUAUUCGCAAGAACACCAGUGGCGAAGGCGGCUCACUGGUCCGUAACUGACGCUGAGGCACGAAAGCGUGGGGAGCAAACAGG